rnacentral:misc_RNA from 1 species
GAUGAAGAACGUAGCGAAAUGCGAUAAGUAAUGUGAAUUGCAGAAUUCAGUGAAUCAUCGAAUCUUUGAACGCACAUUGCGCCCCCUGGUAUUCCGGGGGGCAUGCCUGUCCGAGCGUCAUUACAACCCUCAAGCUCAGCUUGGUGUUGGGCCCCGCCGCCCCGGCGGGCCCUAAAGUCAGUGGCGGUGCCGUCCGGCUCCGAGCGUAGUAAUUCUUCUCGCUCUGGAGGCCCGGUCGUGUGCUCGCCAGCAACCCCCAAUUUUUUUCAGGUUGACCUCGGAUCAGGUAGGGAUACCCGCUGAACUUAAGCAUAUCAUAAGCGGAGGA